GGGGGGGGGGGGGGGGGGGGGGGGGGGGGGGGGGGGGAGCGGUGGGGGCCUGGCGGGGGGGGGGGGGGAGGGGUGGCGAGCGGGUGAGUAGCACGUGAGUGACCUGCCCUCUUCGUUGGGAGCACGCCCGGACGCGGGUGGUAAUACGGGAGAUUCACUGGCCUUCGCAUUGGGGUUGGUGGCAAGGUUUUUUCUGGUGGGGGAUGGGCUCUCGGCCUAUCAGCUUGUUGGUGGGGUGAUGGCCUACCGAGGCUUUGACGGGUAGCCGGCCUGAGAGGGUGACCGGUAACAUUGGGACUGAGAUACGGCCCAGACUCCUACGGGAGGCAGCAGUGGGGAAUAUUGCACAAUGGGCGAAAGCCUGAUGCAGCGACGCCGCGUGAGGGAUGGAGGCCUUCGGGUUGUAAACCUCUGUCGCUCAUGGUCAAGCCGCAACUGUGGGUUGUGGUGAGGGUAGUGGGUAAAGAAGCGCCGGCUAACUACGUG
rnacentral:rRNA from 1 species